CCAACGUGGAUAUUCCCGGGAGGUCACUCUCCCCGGGCUCUGUCCUGGUGGCGCAGGGGAGCAUAGGGCUCUGCCCCUUGAUGUACAAUCCCUUUCCACGACGUUGGAGAUAAAGCCGGGCCUUGAGUCUGCGCCUGCAUAUUCCUACAGCUUCUCAGAGUCGUGCAGACAAUGACUGAGGAGACAAACCAUGCAGGAAACAUGU
rnacentral:snoRNA from 12 species